rnacentral:miRNA from 1 species
GACAAAUUUUAAAUGUCCCUGUCCCCUUCCCCCCAAUUAAAGUAGAUUGGGGGAAAGCGAGUAGAGACAUUUAAAAUUUGUU